GAUGAACGCUGGCGGCGUGCCUAAUACAUGCAAGUCGAGCGAACAGACGAGGAGCUUGCUCCUCUUACGUUAGCGGCGGACGGGUGAGUAACACGUGGAUAACCUACCUAUGAGACUGGGAUAACUUCGGGAAACCGGAUCUAAUACCGGAUAAUAUAUUGAACCGCAUGGUUCAAUAGUGAAAGACGGUUUUGCUGUCACUUAUAGAUGGAUCCGCGCCGCAUUAGCUAGUUGGUAAGGUAACGGCUUACCAAGGCGACGAUGCGUAGCCGACCUGAGAGGGUGAUCGGCCACACUGGAACUGAGACACGGUCCAGACUCCUACGGGAGGCAGCAGUAGGGAAUCUUCCGCAAUGGGCGAAAGCCUGACGGAGCAACGCCGCGUGAGUGAUGAAGGUCUUCGGAUCGUAAAACUCUGUUAUUAGGGAAGAACAACUGUGUAAGUAACUAUGCACGUCUUGACGGUACCUAAUCAGAAAGCCACGGCUAACUACGUG
rnacentral:rRNA from 1 species